AUUUUUAUUGUAGAGAGCCGUUAGCUCAGUUGGUAGAGCAUCUGACUUUUAAUCAGAGGGUCGCUGGUUCGAACCCAGCACGGCUCACUUUUGCGGGUGUGGCGGAAUUGGCAGACGCACCAGAUUUAGGAUCUGGCGCCGCGAGGCGUGGGGGUUCAAGUCCCUUCACCCGCACUUAUUUUAAAUAUGCGGAAGUAGUUCAGUGGUAGAACAUCACCUUGCCAAGGUGGGGGUCGCGGGUUCGAACCCCGUCUUCCGCUUGUUUACAAAAGUUCCAAUAUGCCGGGGUGGCGGAACUGGCAGACGCACAGGACUUAAAAUCCUGCGGAUAGUGAUAUCCGUACCGGUUCGAUUCCGGUCCUCGGCAUUAUUUUUAUAUGCGCCCAUAGCUCAACUGGAUAGAGUACUUGACUACGAAUCAAGCGGUUAGAGGUUCGACUCCUCUUGGGCGCACUUUAUUAAACGGGAAGUAGCUCAGCUUGGUAGAGCACUUGGUUUGGGACCAAGGGGUCGCAGGUUCGAAUCCUGUCUUCCCGAUUGUUUCAUUUUUAUUAUGGGGCCUUAGCUCAGCUGGGAGAGCGCCUGCUUUGCACGUAGGAGGUCAGCGGUUCGAUCCCGCUAGGCUCCACCAAAUUAUUUCUAAAAAUGUGUUGACAUUGUUUAGAGAAUAGAGUAAGAUAUAAGAGUUGCUGCUAAAGGCAACGAAGAAGAAAAAGUGACCUUUGAAAACUGAACAAAGAAGAAGACGAAAAGCAAUGAGACGUAAAGUCUCACUGGUAAUCGCAGGGCAGAAAACAGAAAGCUGUUUUCAACAAAACAAACUAGUAAUUUAAUUGCGCCUCGAGGUAAAGAGUCAUGGAGGUAGAGCACUGUUUGGACUAGGGGCCCUUCUCGGGUUACCGAAUUCAGAUAAACUCCGAAUGCCAUGUACUUAUACUCGGGAGUCAGACUGCGAGUGAUAAGAUCCGUAGUCGAAAGGGAAACAGCCCAGACCACCAGUUAAGGUCCCCAAAUAUAUGUUAAGUGGAAAAGGAUGUGGGGUUGCUUAGACAACCAGGAUGUUGGCUUAGAAGCAGCCACCAUUGAAAGAGUGCGUAAUAGCUCACUGGUCGAGUGACCCCGCGCCGAAAAUGUACCGGGGCUAAACAUAUUACCGAAACUGUGGAUGAACCUCUUUAGAGGUUCGUGGUAGGAGAGCGUUCUAAGGGCGGUGAAGUCAGACCGGAAGGACUGGUGGAGCGCUUAGAAGUGAGAAUGCCGGUAUGAGUAGCGAAAGAAGGGUGAGAAUCCCUUCCACCGAAUAUCUAAGGUUUCCUGAGGAAGGCUCGUCCGCUCAGGGUUAGUCGGGACCUAAGCCGAGGCCGAUAGGCGUAGGCGAUGGACAACAGGUAGAGAUUCCUGUACCAGUGCUAAUUGUUUAACCGAUGGGGUGACACAGAAGGAUAGGGAAUCGCACGAAUGGAAAUGUGCGUCCAAGCAGUGAGUGUGAGAAGUAGGCAAAUCCGCUUCUCGCGAAGCAUGAGCUGUGAUGGGGAAGGAAAUUAAGUACGGAAGUUCCUGAUUUCACGCUGUCAAGAAAAGCCUCUAGGAAGAGUAGUACUGCCCGUACCGCAAACCGACACAGGUAGAUGAGGAGAGAAUCCUAAGGUGAGCGAGAGAACUCUCGUUAAGGAACUCGGCAAAAUGACCCCGUAACUUCGGGAGAAGGGGUGCUCUAUUAGGGUGCAAGCCCGAGAGAGCCGCAGUGAAUAGGCCCAGGCGACUGUUUAGCAAAAACACAGGUCUCUGCAAAACCGUAAGGUGACGUAUAGGGGCUGACGCCUGCCCGGUGCUGGAAGGUUAAGAGGAGUGCUUAGCUUCGGCGAAGGUACGAAUUGAAGCCCCAGUAAACGGCGGCCGUAACUAUAACGGUCCUAAGGUAGCGAAAUUCCUUGUCGGGUAAGUUCCGACCCGCACGAAAGGCGCAACGAUCUGGGCACUGUCUCAACGAGAGACUCGGUGAAAUUAUAGUACCUGUGAAGAUGCAGGUUACCCGCGACAGGACGGAAAGACCCCGUGGAGCUUUACUGCAACCUGAUAUGGAAUGUUUGUACCGCUUGUACAGGAUAGGUAGGAGCCGAAGAGACGUGUGCGCUAGCAUACGAGGAGGCAAUGGUGGGAUACUACCCUGGCUGUAUGACCAUUCUAACCCGCCACGCUUAGCGCGUGGGGAGACAGUGUCAGGUGGGCAGUUUGACUGGGGCGGUCGCCUCCUAAAGAGUAACGGAGGCGCCCAAAGGUUCCCUCAGAAUGGAUGGAAAUCAUUCGCAGAGUGUAAAGGCACAAGGGAGCUUGACUGCGAGACUGACAAGUCGAGCAGGGACGAAAGUCGGGCUUAGUGAUCCGGUGGUUCCGCAUGGAAGGGCCAUCGCUCAACGGAUAAAAGCUACCCCGGGGAUAACAGGCUUAUCUCCCCCAAGAGUCCACAUCGACGGGGAGGUUUGGCACCUCGAUGUCGGCUCGUCGCAUCCUGGGGCUGUAGUCGGUCCCAAGGGUUGGGCUGUUCGCCCAUUAAAGCGGCACGCGAGCUGGGUUCAGAACGUCGUGAGACAGUUCGGUCCCUAUCCGUCGCGGGCGCAGGAAAUUUGAGAGGAGCUGUCCUUAGUACGAGAGGACCGGGAUGGACACACCGCUGGUGUACCAGUUGUUCCGCCAGGAGCAUCGCUGGGUAGCUAUGUGUGGCAGGGAUAAACGCUGAAAGCAUCUAAGCGUGAAGCCCCCCUCAAGAUGAGAUUUCCCAUUUCUUCGGAAAGUAAGAUCCCUGAAAGAUGAUCAGGUAGAUAGGUUUGGAGUGGAAGUGUAGCGAUACAUGGAGCGGACAAAUACUAAUCGAUCGAGGACUUAACC
rnacentral:rRNA from 1 species